rnacentral:rRNA from 1 species
UACGAAGGGGGCUAGCGUUGCUCGGAAUCACUGGGCGUAAAGAGUGCGUAGGCGGUUUUCUAAGUUUGGUGUGAAAUCUCCCGGCUUAACUGGGAGGGUGCGCCGAAGACUGGAAGGCUUGAGUAUGGGAGAGGUAAGCGGAAUUCCUGGUGUAGCGGUGAAAUGCGUAGAUAUCAGGAGGAACACCUGCGGUGUAGACGGCUUACUGGACCAUAACUGACGCUGAGGCACGAAAGCGUGGGUAGCAAACAGG